UGCCGCUCUGCGCUUGGGUCCCGCCCCCUUUCCGGGCCGCGUAGUUGGGUUGCAGCGCACCAGAGGGCAGUAUGAAGAGGUGAAAGGUCACGUUAUGUAAGCGCUGGUGACAGGCCUGCGGGCCUCCAGCGGCGGAGUUGAAAAUGGGGGUCAGCGGGGGACCGAAAGGCCUGGAAUUCAAAGAGGGGCUUGGUGGAAAGGAUCAUACAGGAGCUUCUUUGGAAAAAUAUACUAAAAGACAUACCUAGUAAAGAUACAUCCAUUAAUUCUAAUAGUCUUUCGCAGCACCUCCAAAGUUGAGGGCUCUGGACUGGGAGCUUCAGAGGAAAAACAAAAAAUGAGACAGAGACUGUUCUGAGAAAACAAGAGGCACGAA